rnacentral:lncRNA from 1 species
GGAUAAAAUGCAUAAUAAGGCAAACACAAAAGCACAGGAGAAGAACAUGCGAGGAAAUAACAUAAGAACUCAAGCAAAAAACUCAUAAGAACAUGGCAUAUACAGAUAGAUUCACAAAAAGAAAAGAAAACGAAUAAGAGACAGAAGUCGUUUUAAGAUUUUCAGAAAACCCAAAAUUGAAACAGGCUAAAUUUGAAAAAGAAAAAUUGGGGAAAAGCUUCAAAACGUUGAAUACAACAUAGAUUCAUCACAUAUCUAAGAAAAUAAGAGAAGAAGGAACCUCGAAAUAGCUUUAAGGUUUCUCAGAAACCCUAAAAAUGAGAAGGCUUGGAAAGGGUCUGGUCUCGAAUAGGUUUGAGCCAUAGCUAGGCUCUUAAGUCUUAACCACGUCAGAAUAGAGCCGGAGAGGCCAUAGGAGCAUAGAUCGGCAAAGAAUAUUAACAAGCAUCGUUGGGGUCGGACCUCAAACCUUGAAAAACCAGGGUCUGGAGGUUAAAGCAGGUGAGCAUAAGCUGUCCAUGGCCUGAGAAGCCAUGGACUCCGGUGAAGAUUGAUCGGAGAAGACGAGGGAGAUGAUUCGAGGGGUUGAGAGCAUUUGAGAGGAGGAGAGUUCGAAGGCGACUAUCAGAGAGAAA